UUUUUUUUGUGGAUGGAUUUGGCGGGACGGGUUUGGCAGGACGUUACUUAAUAACAAUUGUAAACUAUAAAAUAAUUUACAAAUUUUAUAUAUAUUAAUUUAAAAAAUGAAUUGUCUACGCGGUGUACCGCAUGUUAAAAUUUAGUUUCUAUAUAUUUUAGAAACAACUUUGAAUUUAUACUUUAAUAUUGAAUAAACAACACCAAACCCCCAUUGUCCAAUUUUGUCUGCAUCUCACAUUAUUUUUGUCCAAUAUCUUAAAAUAGUUCCAACUUUCUAGAAGAUUACCCUCAUUCAUCAAAUGACCUAGAUUCUCAUCACUCAAAAUAUUUUUAUUAUUCAUGUUAUCCAUU
rnacentral:sRNA from 1 species